ACUCGCGCCGCGGCGGUUCCCGGCCUUCUUCCUGCCUCCCGCGAUUUCCCUCGCGCUGUCCGUCCUUCCACUUCCAUUCCAUGCCACCACCGCCCUCGGAAGUUCGAACCCGUCCACCGCCGCGUGCUCGCCGGAUUAUUGUGCUCACGGGGUCGCGGCCUCCGAUCCGCACCCGGCCCCGCAACGCCUUUGCAUCCAGCCCCGGCGUCGGCCUGUAGCCAUGCCCAUCGCCGUCUCGCCGAGGCCCGCCCGGUGAUCCGGUCGGGCCAGCGCUUGGGCGUUGGGCACGCUGAUCGGUUUGUUCACUUGUUGCCGGGCGUCGUCCUCCCAGGUGAGUUCCGCAUUCCGCAUCAUCCAUGCCCGCCUUUAAUUUCUCUGGGAACGCUAGCUGGUCGUCGCAUCCUUCAUUGUCUGAGACUCUGAGGCGUGGAUGCCAUUGCCAAUUUGUUGAUUAUUGCCGGAAUACAUGCUGCUGCUUCGAGGCCUUUCCUUCCUGCUGAAUGCUGAUGCUGGUUCAUGUAUUGAUUCGUCGGCUUGGUGAUCAGAGGAUAGUGUGCCAACCAGGUCAGGACAUCUUGGAUCUUAGCCUCUAGCAUUGUUUUAACCAUGAAGGUUUACAACUUGGGGCGACUAGGACGCUAUCAUUCAUUCAAUGCCGGUGAUCCUAAUCUUUCUAUUUAACCUCACAGAUGAGUAUACUCCCCUUGACUGCUCUACCUGAUUUCUCUUUUAUAAUCGUGUGAUGUGCGUGCAGUUUCUUAGGCAUUUCAGUGCACUUAGACACUUAGAUGUUUAUAUUCUGUUAAUUGUCUCUGAAUACAAAGGGGGAUAGUAUAAACCUCUCUAAUAAUUCACUAAGAUAUAGGAAAAAUACUUAUGCUGGACUGUUUAAUAUGUCGAUCUCUUUCUAGAUCUAAAACUAAGAGCUCGAACAUGUCUUGUUUACCACCUGUCUUAUUUAUUAUCUAGGUAUCUUUGUCAACUGCAUUGCUUUUCAUUGUGAGUCAUUACUGCUCCUACAGUCCUACACUCCUACUUGCUAGCUGCUGACUGGUGCGCGGUUGUGUCAAAUUAGGCAAGAGACUACCUCGCUGCCUAUACAUUUUUUUCUGGCAAAUAUGAUUGCAAUAUAUCUUGGUAAGUUGUUAUCGCCAUUUUCUUGGAUGGUGGCGCCUUUUUCUUUUGUUCUUUUGUUUUUGUCAUAGGAUUCUGAGUUCAUAAUGUGUUUCCAUAUGCACGGGAGACUUACCUAGUUUAUGGAUUCACUAACAAAAUUUUAUCACAUGUCAAUGUCAUCAUGACACUAGUAUUUGAAGAGGAUCACCUAGGACCCAUGUAUAAUAAACUUGUAAUAGUACAGUGAGAAUAAAGUUCAAACAACAAUAUGGUAGUAUGACUAUCCUUUCACAAACUUAUCCAGUAUUAACAAAUGAAUUAUUGGAGGGACAAUUAACAAUUUUUUUCUUCAAAUGUAUGGUGAAAUCUUGCGUAUACAAGAGUUCACCAAACAGAGAGAGUGCCUAGCCCCCCUUCCCCCUCCCUCCCUCCGCCACCCAUCACUUCUCUAGCCCACUUCAACUUUCUUUGUUUUUUCUCGAACCAUGUUAAGAUAGAAAUAAUGGCCUAAGUACAAGGAGGUUCCAUCUCAUAUAGGUUAGUUUUUUAUAACACGUGCGCUCUUGUAGAACAUUAUAGCCUUAUCCAAUGAGCUAACCCAAAAGCUUUCAUAGGCUUUAACGUCAGCCAUCACCAAAUGACUGUCGGCUCACCAAUCUCCAUCGAUCUCCUACAAACGUAAUGAUUUCUAUGCUUCUAAGUCAUCUGGGUGAUUAGGAUCACCACUGAGUUGACACCUUUGCGCUUGGGUUUCUGUGUGCCCUAUGCGACUACUACUCACCCUGACCCUCGCGAGGUAACACACGGGAUGUGAGAAGUUUAGGUCCAUAGUGUGGGAGCUCUUCCAUUACCACGUCUUUCACUUUGCCGGGGUUGCGACCAUGUCAACAUGCAACCGGUGCCGAAAAAUGCUCAAAUAGUACAUCACACCUAUGGCGGCACCACCAUCCGCUGCUGUUGCGUUGUCUCCCAUAAGUGAUCAACUACUGCACUACUCCGUGGUCACCACCUAUAAGGAGUACUCGAGUUGCUACAGGGAUGGAUUAUGGGACAGGACCGCAGGAGGGGAAGGUGGCUCAAGCCUCCCUACUGCUGUUAAUUCUAUGGAACCCCUCAAAGAAUUUUUGUCAUGGCUAUUUUAAGAAAGAGAUGCCGAAGGUUGAAGAUAAACUUUCAGCCCCCUAACUAUCGUCCUAGAUCCGUCGUCGGUGAAGACUAUUAUUGGUCGGUAAACACGGUGUUACGGCUCAAAUGAGUAGGGUGGAGCCCACGAAAAAAUGGCUUUAGGCUGAGCUUGCCCAUUCCUGUUCGUUUGUCUGAUAAGUCAUGACAGAAAGUACUGUUGGUUGAUUUGUUGUGAAAGAAAAAUAUUGUUCAAUGGCUGGCAGAUUCGGCUGAUAAGCUCAAGCGAACUAACAAAUUCCGUACUGUCAUGCGUCAUACAUGAUCCCCUCUUUAAGACAAACACAGUUGGUAACAGCUGAACCAACUAGGAUCACAAGUCCGUUAGCACUGUAUGUAAGUGCAGUACAUCACUAGUUGCAAUUAACAAAGCUGCUGUUUCUGGUUAGGGUUCAACCACAUGAUCUGGCACUGUAGUACGAGAGCCUUUCUGGGCGAGGCGAGCCAUUAAGGCCUUAAUAUAUGUGCUCAUGUAAGGAAAUGGCCCCCCAGGGCCCCACAAUUUCGUCAUAUAUACUAUUUGUUAAGUACACUUAUCAAAAGCCUAGUACCUGAAUGCUUUGUAUUGAUCUGUUGAUUAGUUGUUUAAACUUGUUUGUUGAGUGGUUAGUUGCAGCUCAGCUCAGCUCUAUAUGAUUCUUGUACACGGGUGUGAAUUCUUUAAUUCCUCUCCCCUGCUUAAAUCCAGUUAAUUUAUUAUCUUUCCUCAUAAAGAUAAGGACUUGUUUAAGCAAAGAUGCAUGGGCUAGUGUUAUGUUAUCCGUAGUUGUCAGACAGAGAGUAGUAGUUUAAGUCUGGAAAGGAUGAGAUCAGCAGCUACAAAAAAAAUAUUUGAAGCUUGGAACUUUGAGCAUGAUUGGGUUUGAUUAGCCUGCACGUUGCUUAGGAACUUGGAGCUGCAAGGAUUGGUGUUGGUGAGGUUUUUAUCAGUAUUGUCUAAUGGCAACUAUCUGAUACCAUCUAAUGCAAUCUUAGCUCUUUGCUCUUUAUUUACUACUGGGAAUAUUAUCUAGAUCUCAUCUUUUUCCCCGACAAAUUCUUGAGAACAUAUCUACGCAGAGGUCUUGAAGCUCACACUUUCUCUGCUGCUAUUGAUGAUGAUUGUGUUUUCCCCUCAAAAGAUAUCUGACAAAAAUCUUUCCACUGCAUUCUUUCUUGUGUGACGAUCAUUCCGUUGUCGAAUUACUAGAAGGGUUGUAGUAGAAGUGUUUCAACUUCUCAUGGCUCGUUAUGAUGUUUUCCUUACAAUGAUGAUGUCAACUUCUCACAGUGCUUACAAUCACGUGGCUCUGCUCUAUACGGAGUAUGUUUUGGCUACACACGUUUAAGGUUCUGUUUGUUUGUUUUAGCCUGUAGUGGAUUGCGGCAUAUCAACUGUUACAGUUUAGAAGUUGAAACAAACGGGUCACGUAUUGUUGUAAUUCAGGGACUAAGUUGUUACAAUUCAAUAAUCCACCUCCUUCAUAUUGCAAACUGUAGCAAACUGCAAUUUAUAGUCUGCAUGGUAAAACAAACAUGGCCUAAGCAAGGCAAACACAGUUUAAUAGUACUACUUCCUUGGCGUCAUUGUGUCAGUUGAAUAGUUAAUUAGGUUUGAAUUAUCGUUGUCAGCCCCUUAGGAAAAGUCUGGUGGAAGGGAACCUGCCACAAAUGCUGGGACAGGGAGGGCAGCAAAGCAAAGAGCUCUGAAAUAUCGCAGUGUUGUUUAGACACGGAAGCACACCAAACAGCUCGAUUCUUUAACCAGCGCUUUCAGCAUCUUGGGUUAUUAAUAAGACCUGUCAGAAUUGCUGAUGAAAAGACAAAACUAUCAGAACUGAUAGGACUGAUCAUUCAGUAGCACCAUGAUGGGUUAAAGUUCAGCAACUGUGCAGAAGUCCAGGGUCACUGCAUUCUGUGUCAUACACCUAAACUGAUUUUUGAUUGGGAGAAAUCAUGUCAGCAGUUCACCUGAUUCUGCUGAUGAAACCAAUAGAUAAUGAUCUUUCCACUAAUUUCUAUUCUUAUGGAAAUUUUAGUUUGUGGCAAUGAUGCGCCAAUGUAGUGUACUACUGGUUAGAACACAGUAAAUAUUACCUGUUUAUUUAUGAUUAACUUUUUUGGCAUUGCACAUGUUUUUAUCCCAAGCAGAUGCAAGUUAUCCAAAUUUGCGAAGGGCAGGGCCCCCGGCCGCUGGUGCUAGGGUGGAGCCACAGCAAUAUCUUGCCUCCGCAGCCGUUGUUGACAUUUUCGGUGGUUAGUCAAAUACAUUACACAUCAUAAACAAAUGCUUGCAAAGUCAUGGCCUAGACUGGAGAUAAGAACACAAUUAGCAAGCUGGCUUUGGCAUACGGGCUGGCAUGCUCUCAACGUGGCGAAACCAGUCCAAAUCAACUUCAGUAGGCACAUGCCUCAAUGCCUGCAAGGAAGGCGCUGGCAUGUGAAGAAGGUUAGUCACUCUCUGUUUGCUUUGCUGAAAUUAGCUGAUAUUAGAUUUGUUACGAGAGAAAAAUAUUAUUAUUUUCACCGGAAGUAAUGCUUCAA